ACCCUUCCGCCCCCACGUUCUGACUGUGGCAUGAGCGGGUGCUUUCUCUUCUCCCCUCAGCCCACAGGGAUUUCCAAGACAGGUCCAGCUUGCUCUCUGCGACACAUCCCUUCUGUGUGAGUCUCUGUUUCAUUCAGCCAGCUGCAGCAGGGUGGAACGAGACAGUGUAGACCAAGGAAGUGGACAGGGUUUGAAGACUCGCAGCGUCAGGAAGGCUGAUAACCACUGUUGCGGACUGAAUAAAAGAGCUUCAGGUCCAGGUGGAAGAUUUCUUCAGGACAUGUGAGCACAGGAACACUUCAGCCCACGUGACUCCCUUUAGUCACCAACUGCCUGGGGAACCAGACAGUGUGCAUCACUGUCAAUGGGUCGUGGAAUGGAGGUGAGAGUUCUGUAGGUCACUGGCACAGCAAGCUGCUCUGUCACCUGUGCACAGAUGUGCGCUGGAUUUCCCCUGUAUGAGUGUCUUGGUUUCUCUCUUGUUAACCAACAAAUCACCUGCAGACCUUGUGGCUUUAGGUGUCAACGGGUUUCACCACUCCUGCGGUUCCUGGGGAUGGGGAAAUGAGGAAGAGUUUCACAAAACACUGCAGUGUCUGCAGCUGCGGCCCAGCGAGGGGUUGAGCAUACCAGGAGGGAGAUUGAGCUUUCUCCCAUCAUGGCUGCCUCAGGACCUCAACAAAGCCUCUGAAGAGCUCACCCAGCAAAUGGGGUGGCAGCUGCCUGGUCUUUUGCGACCCAGCCUUGGAGGUCACUUCCACCGUGCUUGUAGAUUGAAAUGGCCCCCAAAGUCUAGCUGGUGCAGGGGUGUGGCUCACACCUGUAAUCCCAGCCACUGGGAAGGCCUUGAGGUGGGAGGAACCCAAAUUUGAAGUCAGUCUGGGUUACAUAAUAAGACUCUUCACCAGAUAACAGCUAAAACAAACAAACAAACAAACAAACAAACA